AGUGAACGCUGGCGGUAGGCCUAACACAUGCAAGUCGAACGGCAGCACAGUAAGAGCUUGCUCUUACGGGUGGCGAGUGGCGGACGGGUGAGGAAUACAUCGGAAUCUACUUUUUCGUGGGGGAUAACGUAGGGAAACUUACGCUAAUACCGCAUACGACCUACGGGUGAAAGCAGGGGAUCUUCGGACCUUGCGCGAUUGAAUGAGCCGAUGUCGGAUUAGCUAGUUGGGGGGGUAAAGGCCCACCAAGGCGACGAUCCGUAGCUGGUCUGAGAGGAUGAUCGGCCACACUGGAACUGAGACACGGUCAAGACUCCUACGGGAGGCAGCAGUGGGGAAUAUUGGACAAUGGGCGCAAGCCUGAUCCAGCCAUACCGCGUGGGUGAAGAAGGCCUUCGGGUUGUAAAGACCUUUUGUUGGGAAAGAAAAGCAGCAGGUUAAUACCCCGCUGUUCUGACGGUACCCAAAGAAUAAGCACCGGCUAACUUCGUG
rnacentral:rRNA from 1 species